rnacentral:rRNA from 1 species
AUACGUAGGGGGCGAGCGUUGUCCGGAAUGAUUGGGCGUAAAGGGCGCGUAGGCGGCCCGGUAAGUCUGGAGUGAAAGUCCUGUUUUUAAGAUGGGAAUUGCUUUGGAUACUGUCGGGCUUGAGUGCAGGAGAGGUAAGUGGAAUUCCCAGUGUAGCGGUGAAAUGCGUAGAGAUUGGGAGGAACACCAGUGGCGAAGGCGACUUACUGGACUGUAACUGACGCUGAGGCGCGAAAGUGUGGGGAGCAAACAGGAUUAGAUACCCUGGUAGUCCACACUGUAAACGAUGAAUGCUAGGUGUAGGGGGUAUCGACCCCUUCUGUGCCGCAGUCAACACAAUAAGCAUUCCGUCUGGGGAGUACGGCCGCAAGGUUGAAACUCAAAGGAAUUGACGGGG